UCUUGCGAUCAUUUGAUUAAA
rnacentral:piRNA from 1 species